AUAUAACCUGUACUAUCACUCCAUGAGGUGAAGAGGGAUUGACUGCAGUCAGGGGUAAACUGGGGCAGGACGGUUUGCUCCCGAUGAGGCCUGGAAUCUGUACAGAGAGUGCAAGCUUUCUGUGGGAGCGGUUGGUGAAAUCAGGAUGUUGUCUGGUGUUGCAUCAAACUCCAGAUAUACAUUGCCUGUGAUGACUCCUAACAGGCCUAUAAAUGUGUGACUGGCAGUCAACCACUUCAUACUAUAAAAGAUGAAUCCAGACUAUAAAAUUCUGAAAUGAGAAGUUCUGUUGUACUAGACUUUAUAUUUUGCAGAAAUUCCUGAGCCCAUAUGAUUGGACACACCUGUCCAAACUUGGAAACUAGGUCUGCCAACCAGGAAAAGAUUAUCUCAAGUACUGUUGACUCCAAAAAUGACACUUCAUCAAUGCGCUGUUCGAGUCAUUCACCAGUGUCAUGGUCCAACCAUGGACCACGCGGUGGGAUGGAAUCCAACAGCCCCCAGGAACUGGUCUCUCCUCUGAGGGUGCAGAGCAGCAGGGCCUCUUCCUGACCCAACUGUACCUUCCAGAAAGAUAUCAGCUAUACUUUGCUUCUUUGCUAACUUCUGUUUUAGAUGUCGAUGUGUGGACCACCCUGGCCAACGUGACGAAGACAGACGUGAUAUGUGUGUCCAUGGCAACUCCCACGAGUCCUUUUUGCACCUGUCUGGUUGGAGUACCUAUUGAUAACUACUGGUGGGGAACUCUGUAUAAUGAGACCGUGUUAGCAAACUGCAACUCGAUGCUUCUACCUAAACUAUACGUCAGGUACCAAGGUUAAUGAAGGAGGAGUUGACAUUUUUCCUAGAGAUAUAUACCAGAACGCAUCAGCUGGGUGCAAUGAGACUCUGCAAAAAUGAUUUAUUCCUGGAUCUGAUGUGAUAGGUCUCCCAAAUGAUCUGUUUCUCAUUUGUGGACAAAGAGCAUGGAAAAGUAUUCCAAGAAAAGCUGUAGUAAGCCCUUGUACCUUUGGACAAUUAACCUUUUUCCAUCCUCGCAGUGUAACCUUGCCUAAACUAAGAAGAUGCAGACAUGACACACAGCGAUUUACUCCGAACUGUAACUCUGAUGUAGAGUUUUGGAAUAAGGCUGAAAGAAUAACUGCUAGUAUAAUAUCUCAGAUAGAGACUGCUCAUGCUUUGGCUUCUUUAAAUAAACUAGGAUGCUGGUUGGCUAAAGAAGCUAAUGCUACUUCUGCUGCUUUGAGUGCAUUGCUCACAGAUGUAGACUCUGUUAGACAUGCAAGUUUACAAAAUAGAGCUGCUAUUGAUUUUUUGUUGUUAGCCCAGGGACAUGACUGUCAAGAUUUUGAGGGCAUGUGCUGCAUGAAUUUCAGUGAUCAUUCUGAAUCUGUUCAUGCUAGCAUUCAGAAAUUAAAAGCCCUUACUCAACAAUUACAUGUUCAUGAUGAAUGGAACCUCUUUGGUGAUUGGAAAUGGGGAUGGCCCUGGUUACGAAAAACGUUAAUAGGUUUGUCAAUAGUUGGAUGUAUAAUAACAUGCAUAUUGUGUAUGAUUCCCUGUAUACUAACAUGUGUACGUCGAAUGAUAAACACCAAGCUAAAUGCAUUGCAAUCUCGAGUAGUUCGUUAUCAUCCUCUUGCUACCAUUGAUCACGCGGUGGUAUGUAAGGGGGGUACUUUUGAAUUAGAUGAUCAAUGGAGCAUAGAGGCAUGAGAACGAAAUCAUAUUAGGAUGUGAAACCAGUUAGAGUAUGGUACAAUGUAACUUAUGGCAGAAGCUAAUUGUAAGGUCCAUUGUGCUUUUCAACAAGUCAGCUUGUAAGGUCCAUUGUGCUUUUUAGCAAGUCAGCUUGAUAUCCCCUAUUAUCAGAGCUGAGUUCUUCCUUGGUUUUGCUACAUAUUGCAAGAUAGAUACAUCUACCCUUGAAACACAAUGGUAGAGGUCAUACAUAGGGGUGAGAAAGAUGAUGAUGGGAGGAAGGUUAUGUGGGCAGGGGUCGCUCGCCCCUUGCCCUACAAGCAGGGCAUGCGCAGACUGUUGCCAUGAGGUCAUGAUUAGGCGGUGUUUGGCUGCCAUUCAGGCAUCACCUUAUGCUACGUACUGGCCCUACGUAGUGUAAUGUGGAACUGAUAAAAAUGGGGUGUCGAGACUGCUGAGCUGAGCGAUACUCAUCCUACCACCGAGACUGUGUUGCUCCGCGGGGACGCCCGCUAAGCAUGGGUACCGACCAGCUGCUGCAGAUCCUGGCAGCCCUGGCCUGUCUGUGUGGGUAAGCACAGGUUAUUGAUAGGAAGCAACUGAGAGAACAAACUUUUUAAUAUCCUUUUAGUGUUCCUUUAACUCCCCUUUUAUGUUUAUAGUUUUUUUUUUUUUUCUUUAGUUUCCCCUUUUACUAACCAAUAUCGUGUUAUCCAUAAUAUUGUGUUAAGAUCCUUUUUUGGUAUCCCUUUUCACUAGUUAAUAUUGUAUUAAAUGCUGUUCGUAGUAUUUGUUUUAAUGCCACCCGAUAAGGUAGUUAUUUUGUAUCCUUUUUUAGUUUUUUAUUCCUCUUGCUAUUAUUACUAUUAUUAUUAUUCUCACUGUAAUAAAAGAUAUUUUGUGUGCUUGAGUA